AACGAACGCUGGCGGCAUGCCUAACACAUGCAAGUCGAACGGGAUCCGGACUUCGGUCCGGUGAGAGUGGCGGACGGGUGGAGUAACACGUGGGAACCUGCCUUUUUGGUUUCGGGGAUAACCGCGGGAAACUGCGGCUAAUACCGGAUGCUCCCGAGAGGGAAAAGAUUUAUCGCCAGAAGAGGGGCCCGCGUCCGAUUAGGUAGUUGGUGGGGUAAUGGCCUACCAAGCCGACGAUCGGUAGCUGGUCUGAGAGGAUGAUCAGCCACACUGGGACUGAGAUACGGCCCAGACUCCUACGGGAGGGCAGCAGUGGGGAAUAUUGGACAAUGGGGGCGAACCCUGAUCCAGCAAUGCCGCGUGAGUGAUGAAGGCCUUAGGGUUGUAAAGCUCUUUUGCCAGGGAAGAU
rnacentral:rRNA from 1 species